rnacentral:rRNA from 1 species
AUUGAACGCUGGCGGCAUGCUUUACACAUGCAAGUCGAACGGUAACAGGCCUUCGGGUGCUGACGAGUGGCGAACGGGUGAGUAAUGCAUCGGAACGUACCCAGAGGUGGGGGAUAACGCAGCGAAAGCUGUGCUAAUACUGCAUGUGAUCUGAGGAUGAAAGCGGGGGACCGAGCAGCAAUGUUUGGCCUCGCGCCUUUGGAGCGGCCGAUGUCGGAUUAGCUAGUUGGUGGGGUAAAGGCCUACCAAGGCGACGAUCCGUAGCUGGUCUGAGAGGACGACCAGCCACUCUGGGACUGAGACACGGCCCAGACUCCUACGGGAGGCAGCAGUGGGGAAUUUUGGACAAUGGGCGCAAGCCUGAUCCAGCAAUGCCGCGUGCGGGAAGAAGGCCUUCGGGUUGUAAACCGCUUUUGGCAGGAACGAAACGGUGUCCGCUAAUACCGGGCGCUAAUGACGGUACCUGCAGAAUAAGCACCGGCUAACUACGUG